CCCUUAGACGUUCUGGGCCGCACGCGCGCUACACUGACACAGGCAACGAGCUUUCCUUUACCGAAAGGUAUGGGUAAUCUCUUGAAACUGUGUCGUGCUGGGGAUAGAUCCUUGCAAUUUUUGAUCUUAAACGAGGAAUUCCUAGUAAGCGCGAGUCAUCAACUCGCGUUGAUUACGUCCCUGCCCUUUGUACACACCGCCCGUCGCUACUACCGAUUGAAUGGCUUAGUGAGGCCUCAGGAUCCGCGCUUAAUGUGUGGAGAAUUUGGACAAACUACGUCAUUUAGAGGAAGUAAAAGUCGUAACA
rnacentral:rRNA from 1 species